CAAAAACAUAACUAUAUGACAUAAUAUAUAGCGCUUCUGCUCAAUGGAACUCUAAAUAGCCGCAGUACUCUGACUGUGCAAAGGUAGCAUAAUCAAUUGGCCUCUAAUUAAGGUCUGGAAUGAACGAACUUAUGGGUAGCAACUGUCUUAAAAUAGUUAAUUAAAUUGAUUAAUAAGUGCAAAUACUUAUUCAAUUAUAUUAGACGAGAAGACCCUAGAAACUUAUAAUUAUUUUGUUGGGGCGACAGAAUUACAUAAAACUAAUUUUAUCUUACAAGACGAAAAACAGAAAGAAAAAGUUACUCUAGGGAUAACAGCAUAAUUUUACAUAGCUUGUGACCUCGAUGUUGGACUAGGUAGAUAGUUUUUUAGAAGAAAGCUUUCUUGGCUCUGUUCGAGCAAUUUAACCUACGUGAUCUGAGUU
rnacentral:rRNA from 1 species